CCUACGGGGGUCAGCAGUGGGGAAUAUUGCGCAAUGGGCGAAAGCCUGAUGCAGCGACGCCGCGUGAGUGAUGAAGGUCUUCGGAUCGUAAACCUCUGUCAGCAGGGAAGAACGGUCACUGUGCUAAUCAGCAGUGCAUUGACGGUACCUGCAAAGGAAGCACCGGCUAACUCCGUGCCAGCAGCCGCGGUAAUACGGAGGGUGCGAGCGUUAAUCGGAAUUACUGGGCGUAAAGCGCUCGUAGGCGGUUUGUCAAGUCAAGGGUGAAAUCCCCGGGCUCAACGUGGGAACUGCCUUUGAAACUGGCAAGCUGGAGUGUGGGAGAGGAGAGUGGAAUUCCAGGUGUAGGAGUGAAAUGCGUAGAGAUCUGGAGGAACAUCAGUGGCGAAGGCGACUAUCUGGAACAUAACUGACGCGGAGGAGCGAAAGCGUGGGUAGCAAACAGGAUUAGAUACCCGGGUAGUC
rnacentral:rRNA from 1 species